rnacentral:antisense_RNA from 1 species
CCCUUCAAAUGUGAAAGCGACUGCCUUUUUGUAACACUCAAAACUAGCAUCUGAUGAAUGCCUACAUUCAGUCCACAAAGCAACAAUCUUAUAAGCUGCUCGUCGGACAUGAUGGCUCACACCUGUAAUCCCAGCACUUCGGGAGGCCGAGGCAGAUGGAUCGCCUGAGCUCCGGAAUUCAAGAUCAGCCUGGCCAACAGGGCAAAACUCCGUCUCUACUAAAAAUACAAAAAUUAGCUGGGUGUGGUGGCACUCACCUGUAAUCCUAGCUACUAGGGAGGCUGAGGCAGGAGAAUCUCUUGAACCCAGGAGGUGGAGGUUGCAGUGAGCCGAGACGGUGCCACUGCACUCCAGCCUGGGCAACAGAGAGAGUCUCCAUCUCAAUCAAUCAAUCAAUCACUAAGCUGCUACCAAGGGAGCCAUUUAAGUCUUGAGCUGCUACAGCUCCUCCCUUUAACAACUGAAUACCAUAGUACUUUAGAAGAUACCUGCCUCUACUAAAUUUGGCACUUUAUUCUCAGACAUAUCACUCUUUCAAUUCUGAUCCAAUUCUACUAUUAAGACAUCUAAACUA